AUGUAUGUGUGCAUGCACAUGUGUGUGUAUACAUACACAUAUAGCAACA
rnacentral:miRNA from 1 species